CAGAAGAGCAGAAGUGUACUAUUUCUGUAGUGCACCCUCAGUCAGUGUCUCUCUCUCUCUCUCUCGAGUUCAGCUCUCCAAAGCAGUUAAUAAAAAUAAAAUAUAAAACACUGAAGCGAUGGACAAAGCUGACUGACACACUUCUGAGUAAUUAUAGCAGCAGCUUCUUUGGAAGAAGGACUGAUGGGUGGGCAGAGGAACAGGACGAUUUGAACAACUUUAGUUCUAGUGGAAAUAAACCCACACUUCUGAAAUCGGAUGAAUAUGUGGAAAGGCUGAUGUGAUCGACACCACAGGCAAAGGAAACACAGCUGACUGGAAAUCUUCAAGAGCAUGUGUUUGAACAGAGCUGAAAAGGAGAAAUAGGAGGAAGUUGCAAUGGAUUUCUUACAAAAGAACUUCUGGGCUGUUUUAAUCCUAGCCAUCAUUCUGGUGUCUGUGAUCAUAGUGAUUAUUUUCAUCUUCAUCAACAUUUGUCUCCGCAGAAGAGCUUCUUGGUACAGUACACAAGCAAAAACAAAUCAUUAUGGUCACUCAGACUCAAAACCAGUGGACAACCAAGCACAUAACAAAGACCUAGGAAAUGAAAAACCACCCUUACCUCCAAGAGAUCAAUUCCUGUCCACAAACUCUGGUGGGUAUUUUCAUUAUUCUUUUAU